rnacentral:lncRNA from 13 species
AUAACUUAUCAUUAUUAUUAUUUUCUCCUCUUCUUUACCUAGAGAAAAAAUACUUAAUAAAAAGAGUGCUGAUGUAUCCUCUCAAUGAGGGGAAGGUGAGAUGGUUAAUAUUGAGUGUCAACUUGAUUGGAAUGAAGGAUGAAAAAUAUUUUUCCUGGGUCUAUCUGUGAGGGUGUUGCCAAAGGAGAUAUCAUUUGAGUCAGUGGACUAAGAAAGGCAGACCCGCCCUUAAUCUUGGUGGGCACAACCUAAUCAGCUGCCACAGAGGCAAGAAUAAAAAGCUGGCAGAAGCAUGUGGGACUGACUGAGUAUUCUGGCCUCCAUCUUUCUCCUGUGCUAGAUGCUUCCUGACCUGGAACAUAGAACUCCAAGUUCUUCACCUUUGAGAUUCUUGGGCAUUCUGCCACAGACUGAAGGCUGCACUGUCGGCUUCCCUAUUUUUGAAAAUUUGGAACUGGGACUGACUUCCUUACUCCUCAUCUUGAAGAUGGUCUACUGUGGGACGUCACCUUGUGAUCACGACAUGAACUUGGGACCCACCGAACAGCAGGUGCAAAAAGGGCUGUAACACCUUCCUGAAUGGAUCACCAAGCUGCAGGUAAGACUGAAAGGAGCUGUAACAUGUUCCCGGUGAGCUCUCCAAGCUCCCAUUUGCCAAACGUCUCGGGGCCCAGACCCCGGGAAUCCCGGAGUCAGAACUGUAAUACUAUAUCCCUCCUUCCCUCCUCCAAUGUCAGGUGGAAAUGACAUUGGAGCCAUUCUACAGUGUAUUAAAUGGUAUCAUAUCAAUGAUUUAGUUUGUAUGUCCCUAUUGAGUAAAGAUGUUGAGUAUCUUUUCACAUACUAAUUUUCAUCUAUAUGCCUUGUUGGGUGAAGCAUCUGUUCAAAU